GAUGAACGCUGGCGGCGUGCCUAACACAUGCAAGUCGAGCGAUCUCUUCGGAGAGAGCGGCGGACGGGUGAGUAACGCGUGGGUAACCUACCCUGUACACACGGAUAACAUACCGAAAGGUAUGCUAAUACGGGAUAAUAUAUAAAAGUUGCAUGACUUUUAUAUCAAAGAUUUUUCGGUACAGGAUGGACCCGCGUCUGAUUAGCUUGUUGGCGGGGUAACGGCCCACCAAGGCGACGAUCAGUAGCCGACCUGAGAGGGUGAUCGGCCACAUUGGAACUGAGACACGGUCCAAACUCCUACGGGAGGCAGCAGUGGGGAAUAUUGCACAAUGGGCGCAAGCCUGAUGCAGCAACGCCGCGUGAGCGAUGAAGGCCUUCGGGUCGUAAAGCUCUGUCCUCAAGGAAGAUAAUGACGGUACUGAGAGAAGGCCCCGAWUUUUUC
rnacentral:rRNA from 1 species